AGCGGCGGACGGGUGAGUAACGCGUGGGUAACCUGCCCUGUACACACGGAUAAUAUACCGAAAGGUAUGCUAAUACGAGGUAAUAUACUUUUAUCGCAUGGUAGAAGUAUCAAAGCUUUUGCGGUACAGGAUGGACCCGCGUCUGAUUAGCUAGUUGGUAAGGUAACGGCUUACCAAGGCGACGGUCAGUAGCCGACCUGAGAGGGUGAUCGGCCACAUUGGAACUGAGACACGGUCCAAACUCCUACGGGAGGCAGCAGUGGGGAAUAUUGCACAAUGGGCGAAAGCCUGAUGCAGCAACGCCGCGUGAGCGAUGAAGGCCUUCGGGUCGUAAAGCUCUGUCCUCAAGGAAGAUAAUGACGGUACUUGAGGAGGAAGCCCCGGCUAACUACGUGCCAGCAGCCGCGGUAAUACGUAGGGGGCUAGCGUUAUCCGGAAUUACUGGGCGUAAAGGGUGCGUAGGUGGUUUCUUAAGUCAGAGGUGAAAGGCUACGGCUCAACCGUAGUAAGCCUUUGAAACUGGGAAACUUGAGUGCAGGAGAGGAGAGUGGAAUUCCUAGUGUAGCGGUGAAAUGCGUAGAUAUUAGGAGGAACACCAGUUGCGAAGGCGGCUCUCUGGACUGUAACUGACACUGAGGCACGAAAGCGUGGGGAGCAAACAGGAUUAGAUACCCUGGUAGUCCACGCCGUAAACGAUGAGUACUAGCUGU
rnacentral:rRNA from 1 species